UACGUAGGAUGCAAGCGUUGUCCGGAAUUAUUGGGCGUAAAGAGCGCGCAGGCGGCCCAUCAAGUCAGAUGUGAAAUAACCAGGCUUAACCUGGUGGGGUCAUUUGAAACUGGCGGGCUAGAGUCCAGCAGAGGAUAGCGGAAUUCCCGGUGUAGUGGUGAAAUGCGUAGAUAUCGGGGAGGAACACCAGUGGCGAAGGCGGCUAUCUGGGCUGGAACUGACGCUGAGGCGCGAAGGCUAGGGGAGCAAACAGG
rnacentral:rRNA from 1 species